rnacentral:tRNA from 1 species
GGUCCGUUGGCCCAAUGGUAAGGCGUCUGACUACGACUCCAAGCAGUUAUCAGGAGAUUCUGGGUUCGACCCCCAGGCGGACCU